rnacentral:lncRNA from 1 species
GUUCUUGCUGUUCUGGUGAUGGUGGUGGUAGAACUGAAUUGCUACCAUGAGAACAUGUAUGCUUUCCUUUGUAUGUGAUUUCGAAUAUCGUGGGGUCUUCAUCUGAUCUUUGCACUUGCUUUGUAGCAUAACAGCUUUGCGUGUUUCGGUAGGUGCAUCUGUAAUAGCUUCUGCAAAUUUAAACAAAAUUGGUCAUCAGAAUGUUCAUAACAAAGUGAUAUUUCUAUGAUGCAGAAGACUGCUAUAUUUCCCGUUUGUGGGUCAACCUCAAAAGACAAAGCUUUGUGCGCGUGCGUGUAAAAGGUAAAGUAUUAUAUGUUGCUUUUUGAAAUGUGGCAUCGGUGACUGUUACUGCAAAUGAUUGCAUGGUUGAAUGGAUUCGCUUAUAGGAUUUUACAACAGGAUAAGAUUAAGUAAAAAGGCACUUUAGUUACCUUGGAUGUUUGGCUCCAAGGAUGUCCUUCUGUCCAUAUUUUCUCCAGCUAUGGCCAUCUUCAUGAGGUCCUUCAAUCCCAUUCUCAGAGCUAACUCUCAUUACAUGGUCUGUCCAUUUGGCCAUGAUCUUUCUGCAAUAUGCAAAAUCAAAUUAGCAUUUGAUUUCUUGGCAUCAUAUUCUCUACAUUUAUGACUUAAUGAAUAGUAUAAGCUCACCUCUUCUUGGAGACAUCUGUGAGGUCCUGAUGAUCCUUGGGACUCUUGUUAUAGUCAUCAAAACAAGGACCUGCGUAAGCCGACACAAGAGACUCCGGCACACUGGCUAUUGCACCCGCAGUACUUUGAGCCGGCCCACUGAAGUUCAGUAUCAAAAGGGCUUUCUCAUAGGAGGACAAUAUCCUCUGCACUAAAAAUUGUC